GUGGAUUAGAUACCCUGGUAGUCCACGCCCUAAACGAUGUCGACUGGGUGUUGGGGAAGCGAUUCCCUAGUACCGUAGCUAACGCGUGAAGUCGACCGCCUGGGGAGUACGGCCGCAAGGUUAAAACUCAAAGGAAUUGACGGGGACCCGCACAAGCGGUGGAUGAUGUGGAUUAAUUCGAUGCAACGCGAACAACCUUACCUACCCUUGACAUGUCUGGAAGCCUGCUGAGAGGCGGGUGUGCCCGAAAGGGAACCGGAACACAGGUGCUGCACGGCCGUCGUCAACU
rnacentral:rRNA from 1 species